GAUAAAGCAAAUGUGUUCCUCUGCAAGUAUAAGGGACAUAGGUAGAGGUACAUUUUAAAAAGGCCACUCUGUAAAUGUGUCCAUCAAAAUGGGCGACAUGAUGUUGCUUUGAAUAUUUGUCAGCUUUCUCGUGUAAUUAACAUGUAUUUGUUUUACUAUUCUUGGCAUAGAUUGUGCCCCUCUUCCAGUGCCAUUGCUUGUCACGUUUGCAGCUGCUUCUAUUUCUAAUGCAUUCCUUGGAGGAAGAGGGGGGUUAUUUGAUCCUUAUUCUUCUCUGGCCCCAGCAGUCCUUGUCAUAAAUCCGGGGGAUCAAGCCAUGUCAUAGGGAGGGCUUGCUGGGGGAGGAAGAGCAAGUGCUGGAAAUUCCCCUUAACUAUUUCCAGUGAGAAAGUUACCAUGUGUUCAUAGACGU